UUCUAAAAAAAUGUUCCAAGAGAUGAGACAGAGCCACGAUUUACCGUAUUUUAAUUUGCUUGGUUGAUAUAGAAAUUCUGAAUAGUAUUAAAACAGGUUUCUCGCGAACGUCUCAUUUCCGACGAUUCAGUAUUCGACAGUCGUUCUGCUGGUUCGUAUUCGUCGAGGUUUAUUGCCUCGAGCAGCGUAGAAAGUAUAACGCAAAUCCUUUUGAUAAACUGUAAACGGUCAUAGAGAUAUAUAAAGCCAAAUAAAUAAAGAACGAUUCGUUUCUGAUAACAUUCGUCCAAGUGUCAAUCUCUUAGGGAUUUGAUCAUUCUACUCAACAGAAAUGAAAAAUACUCUUUCGGUAUAUAAAUUUUAGUUAAAAAUUUAAAAUGUCUGUCAAAUCUUUCACAGAAACACUUAACUAAAUGACAUUCCAACACGACGAUUUCUAUCAAUAUAUACCUCCCCUCUCUUCGAAACGAUCACUUUUAAAAAUGUAUUCUGAGUCGAGCAAUACGUAACUGAAACUUGAACAAAAACAUUCUUGUUGGAUCUUCCAGAACAAUCACUCGUAUUGACCAAUCACGUAACUUCGUUCGAACUCUUCUCACGAAAUAGAAAGAUUAUCCUUUUUUUGCACGAAAGCAAAGGAUUAGAUUAAUCCUAAAUCGCAAAAUAACACUUUUGAUAAACGUUACCCUUGUUCCUCUUCAGCAGUCGGCGAUCCCUGUUGCGCGAUGCGAAACACGUCCAUCGUCGACAUGGUGCUGCGCUGGCCAGCACACUGUUGACACACGAUCACAGGUCACAUAUCGACGCCACUUUUCUCCUAUCAUCCGACCGUUAAGGAUACUUUCCUCGAUUCGAAUUCACGUAUCGAUGCCGCGCACUCAGUACGAUCCACGUGUGAAUGCGCGCUAGCUGUACAAGUUAAGUAUGUGUCCAGGUUAGCUGGCGCCCGUCAAGGCUAAUAUCGCCACAAGAAUGGUGCGUGUUGAGAACGAUGUAUGCAAGAUCGGUGCCGGUAGCGUAACAGGUUGCGAGUCUACAUCGAUUUUCUACGAUCUACGGCUGGCCCAGAGCAGUCGAUCGUUCGUGUCGAUCGAAAACCAGUGAAGAGCGACGCACGGCAGCGACCAACUCACUGCAGUCUCGUGUAGUGUCGCAGCGAGAAGCGGUCACGCCGCACCUCUGCCUCUGUUGCCGCUGUUCCUUCUACCUGUGCACAGCCACGCACACCAUCAUUUUUCUUUUACUUGUGUAUACCGGGCCGUCGUUGUUCGUAAAUGCUCGUUUGCCGCGGACGAAACGCGUUUCUUCUACCUGCACGUUCAACACUGUCAAAGUAGUCGUAGAGAUGCUAUUAACCACUGUAUACACCGCUAUCUUUCGGUCGUCGUGUCACACUCAUACAUAUAAAUUUUCCACUAAUACUACGGCGCGAUAUGUACGUAUAGAUACGGAUAUUUAUCUCUAACUAUAUUGUGUACGAACAGGUUCCACGCGGUUGUAUAUACAUACAUAGAAGUACGCUAAGUUGACACCAGUCGCGCUUGUGUUGCGUGAUGACACAUGUGUCUUUCGCGUAUGCACAGGUAGAUGGUGUUCCUUUCAUUUGCAUAUUUUCUUGCACGUAUACAUUUCAAUGGACAUUGAAUGUUUACCAUAUCUGUGUAUGUACUUGCUUUCUUUGGCUUAUUAGAAAAAAAUACACGCGAGGACUUUUCCCUUUUCGCCAAUGCAACGUGCAGACGUUGAUAUAUACUUUGCUUGUAAAAGGAUAGGUUAGUGUGCUUCGUGCUACACCGAUACGUUUGACUCACGUUCAGACGCAUUUCCGUUUACCUGCGUUGGGGACAUAUAUCGACAUGUGAUUUCCAUCUGUGUAACGGUCUACGAACGGAGACAUUUACGUACCAUUCGUGAAACAGUUGUAAGAACACGUCCUUCUAUCCGACUAUAUGUUCAAAAAUAAUAUUUCUUUGAUCAGUGUGUGUGUGAGCGGUGCUACAAAGAAGAACGGUUUCCUUUCAUUCGUGUAUCGAUUCUUAUACAUCGAUAUUUAUCCUGGCUAGUCGUGCGUAAACGUUACACGAACACAUUUCAUCAUCUAUGCACACAUGCAACGCUUCUUCGGCCAGCCGGGCCGAAGUCUUCACACCUUCCCCGCUUUUGUGGGUCUUCUCCAUAAUGGAACAGGCGCGCAGGACAAAGGCAGGCACGGUCUCCUGUUUCUCCUGCUUCGGUAUAUCCACCAGGGUCCAGUAUUGGGUCUCCAACUUGAUCACAUCCUCAAAAAGAAGAGAGAUUUUUUAUUAAAAUUAGCCUAAACUUUCAGAUUCAAACAUUGAAUUAGAUUAUGAGAAAUUGAAUACACAGAAAAAGAAAUUU